ensembl:lncRNA
AAAGGCUUCUUGCAUGUUGGUUCCCCAGCAGAGGCAUCGCUUAAAGAUUGUCAAGAUAUGAUGGGUGAUCUGGCCUCAAUUGGCCAAGCACAAGCCCACAAGGAUGCAAUGCGUUGGCUGUAAGGACCUACAAGAACAUGCGGGUCUGGGUAGGAGGCAUACGAGAGGACAAUGCUUUAAUUUGGCUCAAGGAUGGUGAUCGUAAAACCGACAACUGGCUGAAGGGCCAGCCAGACUUUUCAGGUGGCAAAGAAUUCUGUGUGGACUUGUGGGGAUACUGGUCCAUUUUUUGUGCAUGAAGAAGGAAUGGAGUACAAAACCUGACAAGACUUGUAAUAAAUUGCUUAAGAAUAAACAUAAUAAAUACUAAAGG